GAGUUUGAUCGUGGCUCAGGGUUAACGCUGGCGGUGCGCAUAACACAUGCAAGUCCGAGCGAGGGCUUAUUUCUCGCAAGAGAGAUGAGUUCCUAGCGGCGAACGGGUGAGUAACACGUGGGCAACCUUUCCUAUCGCGGGGGAUAACACCGGGAAACCGAUGCUAAUACCGCAUGUCGUCACUGGGUCGCAUGGCUGGUGAAGAAAGCAGCAAUGCACGAUGGGGUGGGCCCGCGGCCUAUCAGCUAAGUCGGUGGGUAACGG
rnacentral:rRNA from 1 species